GCCUACGGGGGGCAGCAGUGGGGAAUAUUGCACAAUGGGGGAAACCCUGAUGCAGCGACGCCGCGUGAGUGAGGAAGUAUUUCGGUAUGUAAAGCUCUAUCAGCAGGGAAGAAAAUGACGGUACCUGACUAAGAAGCCCCGGCUAACUACGUGCCAGCAGCCGCGGUAAUACGUAGGGGGCAAGCGUUAUCCGGAUUUACUGGGUGUAAAGGGAGCGUAGGCGGCUGUGUAAGCCAGAAGUGAAAGCCCGGGGCUCAACUCCGGGACUGCUUUUGGAACUACAUGGCUUGAUUGCAGGAGAGGCA
rnacentral:rRNA from 1 species